rnacentral:rRNA from 4 species
CCUGGUUGAUCCUGCCAGUAGUCAUAUGCUUGUCUCAAAGAUUAAGCCAUGCAUGUGUAAGCACACACUGUUUUAAAAGUGAAGCCGCGAAUGGCUCAUUACAACAGCCACAGUUUAUUAGAACUUACAAUCAUGGAUAACUGUGGUAAUUCUAGAGCUAAUACACGCACAAAAACUUCAACUGAAUUGGUUGAAGUGCUUUUAUUAGAACAAAAACCGAACGGCGUUUGGCGAAUGUUGAACGUCGAAACUGUUUGGUGAAUCUGAAUAACUAUUUCUGAUCGCAUGGUCUAGCACCGGCGACAUCACUUUCAAGUGUCUGCCUUAUCAACCUUCGAUGGUAGUCUAUGCGACUACCAUGGUGAUAACGGGUAACGGAGAAUCAGGGUUCGACUCCGGAGAGGGAGCCUGAGAAACGGCUACCACAUCCAAGGAAGGCAGCAGGCGCGCAAAUUACCCACUCCCAGCUUGGGGAGGUAGUGACGAAAAAUAACGAGACGAUUCUCGUUUGAGAAACGUUAUCGAAAUGAGUACGCUUUACACACGCUAACGAGUAGCAAUUGGAGGGCAAGUCUGGUGCCAGCAGCCGCGGUAAUUCCAGCUCCAAUAGCGUAUAUUAAAGUUGCUGCGGUUAAAACGCUCGUAGUUGAAUUGUGGUCUUAGACAACAGUCCCCCUACAUAGGUGUGGCACGGUUGCUCGAGAUCUUCAUUCGUGGUUGCUGUUGUUGCUCUUCAUUGAGUGUCAAUGGUGCCUCGAGAUUUUACUUUGAAAAAAUUAGAGUGCUCAAAGCAGGUUGUGAUGCCUGAAUAAUGGUGCAUGGAAUAAUAGAAUACGAUCUCGGUUCUAUUUUGUUGGUUUUCGAACCGGAGAUAAUGAUUGAAAGGAACAGACGGGGGCAUUCGUAUUGCUGCGUUAGAGGUGAAAUUCUUGGAUCGCAGCAAGAUGAACAAUUGCGAAAGCAUUUGCCAAGAAUGUUUUCAUUAAUCAAGAACGAAAGUUAGAGGUUCGAAGGCGAUCAGAUACCGCCCUAGUUCUAACGGUAAACUAUGCCAACCAGCGAUUCGCCGAAGUUCAUUUAAGACUCGGCGAGCAGCUUCCGGGAAACCAAAGUGUUUCGGUUCCGGGGGAAGUAUGGUUGCAAAGCUGAAACUUAAAGGAAUUGACGGAAGGGCACCACCAGGAGUGGAGCCUGCGGCUUAAUUUGACUCAACACGGGAAAACUCACCCGGCCCGGACACUGGAAGGAUUGACAGAUUGACAGCUCUUUCUUGAUUCAGUGGGUAGUGGUGCAUGGCCGUUCUUAGUUGGUGGAGCGAUUUGUCUGGUUAAUUCCGAUAACGAACGAGACUCUACCCUAUUAAAUAGUGACAGUAUUGUAUUUUUUGUGCUGAUCACUUCUUAGAGGGACUGGCAAAUUGAAAGCUGCACGAAAAAGAGCAAUAACAGGUCUGUGAUGCCCUUCGAUGUCCGGGGCUGCACGCGCGCUACAAUGAAAGCGUCAACGUGAGUUACGUCCUUACCUGAAAAGGUUUGGCAAUCGAAUGAAACGUUUUCUUGAAUGGAAUAGGGAAUUGCAAUUGUUUCCCUUGAACGAGGAAUUCCCAGUAAGCGUGAGUCAUUAGCUCGCGUUGAUUACGUCCCUGCCCUUUGUACACACCGCCCGUCGCUACUACCGAUUGGAUGAUUUAGUGAGGUGUUUUGACUGGCGCCAGUAGUCGGAUGUAUUCGGCUUCGCGCCGGGAAAUUUCCCAAACCAAAUCAUCUAGAGGAAGUAAAAGUCGUAACAAGGUUUCCGUAGGUGAACCUGCGGAAG